CGCAAUGGGCGAAAGCCUGACGGAGCGACGCCGCGUGCAGGAUGAAGUGCUUCGGUAUGUAAACUGCUUUUGUAGACUAGAAAGUUUAUUGAUCAGUCUAAGAAUAAGGAGUUGCUAAACUCGUGCCAGCAGCAGCGGUAAUACGAGUGCUCCAAGCGUUAUCCGGAAUCAUUGGGCGUAAAGGGUGUGUAGGCGGUUGUGUUAGUCUUCUGUGAAAUUCUUCGGCUUAACCGGGGUCCCGCAGAGGAAACGGCACAACUAGAGGAUGCGAGAGGUAAAUGGAACUCAUGGAGUAGGGGUGAAAUCCGUUGAUAUCAUGGGGAACACCGAAAGCGAAGGCAAUUUACUGGCGCACUCCUGACGCUGAAACACGAAAGCGU
rnacentral:rRNA from 1 species